rnacentral:rRNA from 1 species
UACGUAGGGUGCGAGCGUUGUCCGGAAUUACUGGGCGUAAAGAGCUCGUAGGUGGUUUGUCGCGUUGUCCGUGAAAACUCACAACUCAAUUGUGGGCGUGCGGGCGAUACGGGCAGACUGGAGUACUGCAGGGGAGACUGGAAUUCCUGGUGUAGCGGUGGAAUGCGCAGAUAUCAGGAGGAACACCGGUGGCGAAGGCGGGUCUCUGGGCAUUUCCUGACGCUGAGGCGCGAAAGCGUGGGGAGCAAACGGG